CAGCCCGAUCGCUGCUCGCCUGGCCGGCUGCUUGCUCUCCCGGGCGCCCGCCGCCACCGCUCUCUUUUUUAAUGUCCACAGACAGUGAAAAGGAACUCGGCGUUAGGGGGGCGACAGAGAGAGGGUAAGAGGACCCUAGCCUUCACUACUACGGGUGACGUAGGGGAAGCUGAAGCGCGCCUCCAUUGACAUCUUGAGAAGGAGCGAGAGGUGCAGAGGGAACCAGAAGUCUCCACUGCUACUUGAAGUUAAGAGCAAGAAAGCCUUAGAGCCUGGCAGCCACGGUGUCGGAGGCGAGGCGAGGAAGGGAGCUGGAAUAACAAAG